GACAGAGGGUGCAAACGUUGUUCGGAAUUACUGGGCGUAAAGCGCGUGUAGGCUGCUCAGAAAGUCGGAUGUGAAAGCCCUGGGCUCAACCUAGGAAGUGCAUUCGAAACUUCUGAGCUUGAGUGUCGGAGAGGAAGGCGGAAUUCUCGGUGUAGAGGUGAAAUUCGUAGAUAUCGAGAGGAACACCUGUGGCGAAGGCGGCCUUCUGGACGACAACUGACGCUGAGACGCGAAAGCGUGGGGAGCAAACAGG
rnacentral:rRNA from 1 species